rnacentral:rRNA from 1 species
CCGCCGAAAAUACUGGGCAGCUAGGGAGUGGGAGAGGUACACGGUACUCAAUAGGAAGGGGUAAAAUCCUUUGAUCUAUUGAUGACCACCUGUGGCGANGGCGGUGUACCAGAACACGUUCGACGGUGAGGGAUGAAAGCUGGGGGAGCAAACCGGAUUAGAUACCCGGGUAGUCCCAGCUGUAAACGAUGCAGACUCGGUGAUGCAUUGGCUUGUGGCCAAUGCAGUGCCGCAGGGAAGCCGUUAAGUCUGCCGCCUGGGAAGUACGUACGCAAGUAUGAAACUUAAAGGAAUUGGCGGGGGAGCACCACAAGGGGUGAAGCCUGCGGUUCAAUUGGAGUCAACGCCAGAAAUCUUACCUGGGGCGACAGCAGAAUGAAGGUCAGGCUGAAGACUUUACCAGACAAGCUAAGAGGUGGUGCAUGGCCGUCGCCAGCUCGUGCCGUGAGAUGUCCUGUUAAGUCAGGUAACGAGCGAGACCCCUGCGUCUAGUUGCUACCAUUACUCUCUGGAGUAGUGGAGCGAAUUAGACGGACCGCCACAGUUAAUGUGGAGGAAGGAAGGGGCCACGGCAGGUCAGUAUGCCCCGAAACCCUAGGGCUACACGCGGGCUGCAAUGGUAUUGACAAUGUGUUCCGAAUCCGAAAGGAGGAGGCAAUCAUCAAACGAUACCUCAGUUAUGACUGAGGGCUGUAACUCGCCCUCACGAAUAUGGAAUCCCUAGUAACUGCGCGUCACUACCGCGCGGUGAAUACGUCCCUGCUCCUUGCACACACCGCCCGUCGUUUCAUCGAAGUUGGCCUUUAGUGAGGUAGUGUCUUGUUGGCAUUAUCGAGCUUGAGGUCAGUGACGAGGGAAAAGUCGUAACAAGGUA